GGAAGGGCGGGGGCUGGACAGAGUCAAAGAAAAGGCUGCCAUGGAAACACUAGCGCUUGAGGCUUGAAGAGGGAGGUGAGCUGAAAGAGGUAUGGUUUUUCUUAUGGAAGAAUAUUCUGUUAUUUCAUGAUGGCAUUUGCACCUCCAAAAAGUACAGAUGCCCCCAAAAUGCAGACAAAGAUGAGUACCUGGACACCUCUAAACCAUCAGCUUUUGAAUGACCGGAUAUUUGAAGAAAGAAGAGCUCUGCUUGGAAAAUGGUUUGACAAAUGGACAGACUCUCAACGGAGAAGAAUCUUGACAGGCCUGUUAGAACGUUGCUCCCUGUCACAGCAAAAGUUCUGCUGUCGAAAACUUCAAGAAAAAAUUCCAGCAGAAGCUCUGGAUUUUACUACCAAGCUUCCAAGAGUGUUAUCUCUAUACAUCUUUUCUUUCCUGGACCCACGAAGCCUUUGUCGUUGUGCACAGGUGAGCUGGCACUGGAAGAACUUAACUGAGCUGGAUCAGCUCUGGAUGCUCAAAUGUUUACGAUUUAACUGGUACAUCAAUUUCUCUCCAACUCCCUUUGAGCAGGGUAUAUGGAAGAAGCACUACAUUCAGAUGGUAAAAGAACUUCAUGUCACCAAGCCAAAGACACCUCCAAAAGAUGGGUUUGCCGUUGCCGACGUUCAAUCAGUUACAAGCAGUCCUGCAGAGGAAAAGCAGUCCCCUGCGUCAGCUUUCAGGUCGUCUUCCUCUUUGAGAAAGAAAACCCACCCAAAGGAGAAAGAGCUCCCACCCUGGAGAUCAUCUGACAAGCAUCCAACUGAUAUCAUUCGCUUCAAUUACCUGGACAACUGUGACCCCAGUGAGCAAAUCUGGCAAGGGAGGAGGAAAAGACAUGAAAUGAAUCCAGAUUUCAGCCAACAAUCACAUGAUAAGAAACAUAAAUUGCAGGACAGAUCUAAGCUAAGAAAAGCACAGUCACUGUGUUGAAGGAUGAAGACCAGGAGAAGGAACCUCUCCACUCUAAGAAGCCAGCUGAAGGUUGCUUCCAGGAACAAGGAUGGCGAGAGAGCUUCUUAAUCCUUCAUAACUGGUCCCCAAACUUCUUAUACAUGCAAAAACCCUAGAGCCAGAGGACCUACGGAGGGGUUAUAACUGGAGUUUGCUGUCACUGGAAUGUCAUCAGAAGGUCUGAAAUGAAAAAAAGAAAAAAAAAGGUCUGAAACGUUCAUUUCUCAGCCAGCUUCUUUAUCCACUGACACUGACAGAGAGUGGACACUAGAGGGCGCUCCUUCCCCUCUAGCGCAGUCCAAGGAGCUGCUCCUUUUCUGCCUCUUUCAGUCCCUUGAAUAAAAUUCAGACAGGACUGACAUCAGUGAAAGCAUAUUUUUAUUACGAUUGGGGAGAGGUUUGGGGCAAUUCCGAAUAUUUACACAGACACCCUUAAGGAUAUAUGUAUUCAGCUCAGGUCUUUGAUUUCAUUUGAAUCAAACAGAUACCCACAAUGUCAGUUUUUGAAGAACUUAAAGUCUAAGGAAGAAACAUGUGUUUUAAAAAGUAACCUAAAAAAAUAAAAAAUAAAAAUAAAUAAAAAGUAACCUACCACUUUACACCCAUUAGGAUGGCUAUUGUCAAAGCACAGAUAACAAGUGUUGGCAAGGUUGUGGAGAAAUCGUAACCUUUGUCCAUUUGUUGGUGAGGUUUUCAAAUGACAGAUGUUAUUGGAAAAUUAAACCUAGGAUGACCUUAUCACCCAGAAAUUCAGGUGUAAACCCCAAAGAAAUAAGAACAGGGCCUCCAUGAGAUACUGGUCUAUGCAUGUUCACAGCAGUAUUAUUUAUAAUAGCCAAAAGGUAGAAGCAACACAAGUCUCCAUUGACAGAUGAAUGGAUAAACAAAGUGUGGUUUAGAUCUCCUGGAAUAUUCUUCCGCCUUAGAAAGGAAGGAAAUUCCUUCUACAACAUGGAUGAACCUUGAGGACAUGACGCUAAAGGAAAGAAGCCAGCCUGGCUGGCUCAGUCAGCAGAGCGUGAAUCUUUUGAUCUUGGGGUUGUGGGUUUGAGCCCCAGGUUGGGUGUGGAGAUUACUUAAAAAAAAUAAAUAAAAUCUUAAAAAAAAAAAAAGAGGCCAGUCUCAAAGGAUAAAUACUGCAUGAUUCCACUUAUAUGAGGUACCUCAAGUAGUCAAAUUCAAAGAGAUAGAAUAAAGGUUUACAGAGGCUGUGGGAGGGGGAAAUGGGGAGUCAGUACUUAGUGGGUACGCAGUUUCCUUGCCGUUUAGGAAGAUGGGUGAUGGUGAUGUUUGCACAACGGUGUGAAUGUACUUAAUGCCGCUGAAUUUUACACUUAGAGGUGGUUAAAAUUGGGAACGCCAGGGUGGCUCAGUCAGUUAAGAGCCUGCCUUCAGCUCAGGUCAUGAUUUCAGGGUCCUGGGAUUGAGCCCCAUGUCGUUAGCAGGGAGUUUGCUUCUCCCCCUGCCUGCUGCUCCCCCUGCUUAUGUUCCCUCUCUCUGACAAAGAAAAUAAAAAUAUUUUUAAAAAAUGGUUAAAACUAGGGGGCACCUGGGUGGCUCAGUAGGUUAAGCCUCUGCCUUCGGCUCAGGUCAUGAUCUCCGGGUCCUGGGAUGGAGCCCCGCACUGGACUCUGCUCAGCAGGGAGCCUGCUUCCCUCUCUCUCUGCCUGCCUCUCUGCCUACUUGUGAUCUCUCUCUGCCAAAUAAAAAAAAUCUUUAAAAAAAAAAAUCUAAAGUGGUCAAAAUUGAAAAAAAAAAGUGGUUAAAAUAGUAAAUCUUAUGUAUAUUUUACCACACCAAAACGAAUAAAGGGAAAAAAAACCAAAAUGUAUAGUUAUCAUAGAGGCAAAUAUGAAGAUGGAGCCACUGCUACAUGGGAGACAGGCUGGGAAAAAUUAUCAUCAGGGGUAAGUAACAGUGAUCUGGGUCUUAAAGGUAUAGUGGAUAAGGCAAGGUUAAGUUUUUAGGCUCCAAUUGUCUCUUCUACACCCUUUCUCCCCAAGCUUUUUGGAGUGCCAGGGUGGCUCAGUCAUUAGGCAUGGCCUUUGGCUCAGGUCAUGAUCCUGGGGUCCUGGGGUCAAGUCCCACAUCGGGCUCCCUGCUUAGCCGAGAGCCUGCUUCUCCUUCUCCUGCUCUCUGCUUGUGUUCCCUCUCUCGCUGCC